rnacentral:rRNA from 1 species
GAUGAACGCUGGCGGCGUGCCUAAUACAUGCAAGUCGAGCAAACGGACGAGAAGCUUGCUUCUCUGAUGUUAGCGGCGGACGGGUGAGUAACACGUGGAUAACCUACCUAUAAGACUGGGAUAACUUCGGGAAACCGGAGCUAAUACCGGAUGAUAUUUUGAACCGCAUGGUUCAAAAGUGAAAGACGGUCUUGCUGUCCCUUAUAGAUGGAUCCGCGCUGCAUUAGCUAGUUGGUAAGGUAACGGCUUACCAAGGCAACGUUGCAUAGCCGACCUGAAAGGGUGAUGGGCCACACUGGAACUGAGACACGGUCCAGACUCCUACGGGAGGCAGCAGUAGGGAAUCUUCCGCAAUGGGCGAAAGCCUGACGGAGCAACGCCGCGUGAGUGAUGAAGGUCUUCGGAUCGUAAAACUCUGUUAUUAGGGAAGAACAUAUGUGUAAGUAACUGUGCACAUCGUGACGGUACCUAAUCAGAAAGCCACGGCUAACUACGUG